rnacentral:lncRNA from 1 species
GGACAGGUGCGGAGCCCUGGGAGCGGCCGUAGAGCAUAGCAGAAGGCAGUACAGUAACGUAGCAAGAGGACUGCUUCCACAGACAGCUUAGCCGGUGAAGAACUAAAUAGAACACCAAACAGUCACCUCACGGGAGGAUUUAUUAGCAAGGAACUCUUUGUACAUCCACAAAUGCAAUGGGCAACGCAGGUGGAAGCAGUGCACACCAGUCUCCAUUUAAUCAUUCAGGUACCUCUUACAAACCCUGCUGUCUGUUGGUCUCCACUCUCUAGUGCUAUUGAUUUCAAGACACCGAAGUUUUUCUGUGGAACUCAAAGAGUCUUUUUGUUGUUGUUCAUUCAAAUUACAAGUGCAUUUGGCAGAUACAAAGAGGACAUCUGGCUUUCCCUGGGAGGGGAGUAGCCCAUCCUGCUUGCUACAGUGGUGAAGAUAUGAUAACAUGACACAAAAGAAUUAAGGU